rnacentral:rRNA from 1 species
GAUGAACGCUGGCGGCGUGCCUAAUACAUGCAAGUCGAGCGAACAGACGAGGAGCUUGCUCCUCUGACGUUAGCGGCGGACGGGUGAGUAACACGUGGAUAACCUACCUAUAAGACUGGGAUAACUUCGGGAAACCGGAGCUAAUACCGGAUAAUAUAUUGAACCGCAUGGUUCAAUAGUGAAAGACGGCUUUGCUGUCACUUAUAGAUGGUUCCGCGCCGCAUUAGCUAGUUGGUAAGGUAACGGCUUACCAAGGCGACGAUGCGUAGCCGACCUGAGAGGGUGAUCAGCCACACUGGAACUGAGACACGGUCCAGACUCCUACGGGAGGCAGCAGUAGGGAAUCUUCCGCAAUGGGCGAAAGCCUGACGGAGCAACGCCGCGUGAGUGAUGAAGGUCUUCGGAUCGUAAAACUCUGUUAUUAGGGAAGAACAAAUGUGUAAGUAACUAUGCACGUCUUGACGGUACCUAAUCAGAAAGCCACGGCUAACUACGUG